rnacentral:misc_RNA from 1 species
AUUUACCUUACCAUCUUUAAAAGCUGACCAGCUCUCUUCACUAUCUCAAAAGCACUACUUUCUUCACUCGUUUCUACCCAAGAAAACCAUACAGACAAACCCCAAAUCCUCCAUGAAAGUAAAAUGUGCUGCAAUUGGCAAUGGCCUUUUCACACAAACCACCCCAGAAGUUCGCCGAAUAGUGCCUGAAAAUAACCAGAACCUCCCCACUGUGAAA